ACUCCUACGGGAGGCAGCAGUAGGGAAUCUUCCACAAUGGACGCAAGUCUGAUGGAGCAACGCCGCGUGAGUGAAGAAGGUUUUCGGAUCGUAAAGCUCUGUUGUUGGUGAAGAAGGAUAGGGAUAGUAACUGAUUCUUAUUUGACGGUAAUCAACC
rnacentral:rRNA from 1 species